rnacentral:rRNA from 1 species
AUGGGGCGGAAGAAGAUCGUGAUCCGGCGCAUCGAGAACAAGGCUGCACGGGACAUCUGCUUCUCCAAGCGCCGGCAGGGGCUGUUUCGCAAGGCGAACGAGCUGGCCGUCAUGUGCGGCGCCGAGGUGGCCGCCGUCGUCUACUCCCGGGCCGGCAAGGCCUAUUCCUUCGGCCACCCCUCCGCCGAGGACAUCGUCGACCGCUUCCUCCGCCCCGCGGAGCAGGCCGGGGCGGCGGGGGCUGGCAUGGGCGCCGCCGUCGACCCGGACCGGCUGGCAGAGCUGCAACAGAAGUACAACAAGCUGGGCGCGGAUCUGGACGCGGUGGAGCAGCAGAAGGAGCGCUGGGGGGAGGCCAUAGCGAAGGGUCGCGCGGAGGGGAGCCAGGCGGCGGCGUGGCUGGACGCAGUCGCAGACCAGCGCGACAUGGGGGACGCGGACAUGCUGGCCUGCAUGGCUACGCUGAGGGAGGCGCAGGUCACCGUGGCGGCGCUCGUCAACCAGGUGCUCCAGAACGGUCGCCGUGACAAGGAGGCAGCCCUCGCGGCCCUGCCGCCACAGCUACUCGCCGGCGUCGGUGGCUUUGAGCUCGGUGGGACGGGGCAGAUGAUGGCGGUUAUGCCAACGCCGGGGUUCGCGGUCGGUGGCGGGUUUGAGCUCGGUGGCACCAGCGCGAACGGCGGGAUGGAGGAGCUGAUGACGGCGAUCGCCGGCGGUGGGCUUGAGCUGGGUGGCACCAGUGUGAAUGGGGGGACGGAGCAAAUGGUGACGGUGAUGCCAACGCCGGGGUUCGAUCCUUGGUUUGAGCUCGGUGGCACCAGCGCCAACGGCGGGAUGGAGGACCUGAUGACGGAGAUCGCCGGCGGCGAUGGGUUUGAGCUGGGUGGCACCAGCGUGAAUGGAGGGACCGAGCAUUCACCAGCGUGGGUUUGA